rnacentral:rRNA from 1 species
GCGGCGUGCUUAACACAUGCAAGUCAGGGAGAAAGUCUCUUCGGGGAUGAUUAAACCGGCGCACGGGUGAGUAACACGUGAGUGACCUGCCUUUUAGACUGGAACAACUUACCGAAAGGUGAGCUAAUGCCGGAUGAGUUAUAUAAGUGCAUGUUUAUAUAGGAAAAGUUGGGGAGACCUGACGCUGAAAGAUGGACUCGCGUCCCAUUAGCUAGUUGGUAGGGUAAUGGCCUACCAAGGCGACGAUGGGUAGCCGGCCUGAGAGGGUGGCCGGCCACACUGGGACUGAGACACGGCCCAGACUCCUACGGGAGGCAGCAGUGGGGAAUUUUGCGCAAUGCUCGUAAGAGUGACGCAGCGACGCCGCGUGAAUGACGAAGGCCUUCGGGUCGUAAAGUUCUUUCGACAGGGAAGAAAAUGCCUAUAAGUAACUGUGUAUGUAUUGACGGUACCUGUAUAAGCAGCCCCGGCUAACUCCGUGCCAGCAGCCGCGGUAAUACGGAGGGGGCGAGCGUUGUUCGGAGUGACUGGGCGUAAAGAGCACGUAGGCGGUGUUGUAAGUCAUUAGUCAAAGACUAGAGCUCAACUUUAGUAAGGCUAGUGAUACUAUAAUACUAGAGUAUCAGAGAGGAUUGCAGAAUUCCUGGUGUAGCGGUGAAAUGCGUAGAUAUCAGGAGGAAUACCGUUAGCGAAGGCGGCAAUCUGGCUGGAAACUGACGCUGAGGUGCGAAAGCGUGGGUAGCAAACAGGAUUAGAUACCCUGGUAGUCCACGCUGUAAACGAUGGAUGCUAGGUGUUGGGCUUUUAAGUUCAGUGCCGCAGCAAACGCGAUAAGCAUCCCGCCUGGGGAGUACGUUUGCAAGAAUGAAACUCAAAGGAAUUGACGG